rnacentral:rRNA from 1 species
AGGACGAACGCUGGCGGCGUGCUUAACACAUGCAAGUCGAACGGAAAGGUCUCUUCGGAGAUACUCGAGUGGCGAACGGGUGAGUAACACGUGGGCAAUCUGCCCUGCACUUCGGGAUAAGCCUGGGAAACUGGGUCUAAUACCGGAUAGGACCACUUGGCGCAUGCCUUGUGGUGGAAAGCUUUUGCGGUGUGGGAUGGGCCCGCGGCCUAUCAGCUUGUUGGUGGGGUGAUGGCCUACCAAGGCGACGACGGGUAGCCGGCCUGAGAGGGUGUCCGGCCACACUGGGACUGAGAUACGGCCCAGACUCCUACGGGAGGCAGCAGUGGGGAAUAUUGCACAAUGGGCGCAAGCCUGAUGCAAGCGACGCCGCGUGGGGAUGACGGCCUUCGGGUUGUAAACCUCUUUCACCAUCGACGAAGGUCCGGGUUUUCUCGGAUUGACGGUAGGUGGAGAAGAAGCACCGGCCAACUACGUGCCAGCAGCGGC